GACGAACGCUGGCGGCGUGCUUAACACAUGCAAGUCGAACGGAAAGGCCCUGCUGUUGUGGGGUGCUCGAGUGGCGAACGGGUGAGUAACACGUGAGUAACCUGCCCUUGACUUUGGGAUAACUUCAGGAAACUGGGGCUAACACCGGAUAGGAGCGCCUGCUGCAUGGUGGGGGUUGGAAAGUUUCGGCGGUUGGGGAUGGACUCGCGGCUUAUCAGCUUGUUGGUGGGGUAGUGGCUUACCAAGGCUUUGACGGGUAGCCGGCCUGAGAGGGUGACAGGCCACAUUGGGACUGAGAUACGGCCCAGACUCCUACGGGCGGCAGCAGUGGGGAAUAUUGCACAAUGGGCGGAAGCCUGAUGCAGCAACGCCGCGUGCGGGAUGACGGCCUUCGGGUUGUAAACCGCUUUCGCCUGUGACGAAGCGUGAGUGACGGUAAUGGGUAAAGAAGCACCGGCUAACUACGUG
rnacentral:rRNA from 1 species